CCUACGGGAGGCAGCAGUGGGGAAUAUUGCACAAUGGGCGAAACCCUGAUGCAGCGACGCCGCGUGAGUGAUGAAGUAAUUCGUUAUGUAAAGCUCUAUCAGCAGGGAAGCAAAUGACGGUACCUGAGUAAGAAGCCCCGGCGAACUACGUGCCAGCAGCCGCGGUAAUACGUAGGGGGCAGGCGUUAUCCGGAUUUACUGGGUGUAAGGGGAGCGUAGGCGGCAGUGCAAGUCUGGAGUGAAAGGCGGGGGCUCAACCCCCGGACUGCUCUGGAAACUGUACGGCUGGAGUGCAGGAGAGGUAAGUGGAAUUCCUAGUGUAGCGGUGAAAUGCGUAGAUAUUAGGAAGAACACCAGUGGCGAAGGCGGCUUACUGGACUGUAACUGACGUUGAGGCUCGAAAGCGUGGGGAGCAAACAGGAUUAGAUACCCGGGUAGUC
rnacentral:rRNA from 1 species